GAAAAUGAUAUUCUAUUUUUACUGUUUUGCAAUUGUUCAUCUGGUUUAGCAAGUCAUUCAUGGAAAAUCUAUUCUGUACAACAAAACAAAAUCCAACAGCUUCUUGAUAUCAAACCCCAGCUACUUCCAAGCAGAAUUGUUUCUUCGUAAUUUCAUGCCUCAACCUUCAAGUCAAACCCCAAUAAUAUUGGGAUACAAAGCUUCUUAGGUAUCUAAGAAAUGUACAAUGAUAGAGCUCAAAAAGUCUCAAAAAGAGGUGAGAUCUCAUCAAAGGGAAGUAAGAGACAUCUUUGGCUAAGAAAACCAAAUCCACUAUUUUAGCCAAGGUAUUUCAGCCUCUGACUGCUAUUCCUUACCUAACUUCUCCCAUUGGUUCUCCUAUUAGAGAGGCUAUUACUGCUGUCGCUUCAACACGUACGACCUCAGGCAUUUCUUGUUCACAUUUUCCUUUCCCCAAUCUCCAGUACCCCGAUAUUGAAGCUAUGGUUGGAACUCACCCAAAGAUAUUCCUAGAUUUUCUUCAAGCACCAUCACUUUCCAAAGAUAUGAUCUCAUCUUUCCCUUUUACUAUUAGAGACUCAGCUAACCUACUAAUAAGAAACUGUAAUGAAAGAAAACAAAGGUUUCUGGAAGAGAUGUCUAUAGAUGAGGUAUGUAUUACUGGAAAGCUAUACAAUGAUCAUUCUGUUUUAUAUAUGAUGAAUGUGGCCAUGAAGAUGUGUUCCUCUUUUUCUUUUUUCUUUUUGAACUCUCUAUUGAAUAAUCAAAAUUGUCAAUGCGAAGAUUGAAAAAGUGGUUGCUUUCAGGAAUGAGGCCUUAGCUACUUUCUAGGUUGUCAAGGCUGACAAAGUCCAAAAGACAAAGGAGAAGAAAGAACAUGAGCAUAGACUUUGCACCUUGGAGGCCGAACUAAAGGCUAAGAUCGUAUUUAGGUCUAAGCGUGAGAAAGAGUUGGCAACAACUAAGUUACAGAGUGAGGAAGCCAACAUUUGAGCUUACAAUGAAAAAUUGAAGGAUGAAGAGGAAUGAAAAAAAUAUCGAUGAGGCAAAUGCUAGGACAAUCAAAGCCAUAGAGCUCUAGAAAGAGUUUCCAAAGUUCAACGCAUUGGCUCGGAAUGCCCACAUCGUCAGCUUGGUCGAGGCCAAAAUCCCAAAUUGGAGGAGAAAAUGGCUAAAGGAAGAGAGGACCAAAAGUGCAAAAGUACUGAAAGUUUAGGGACCUAGGUUGCAAUAUUUUAUAUGGGCAUGAUUAAAAGAAAAGUCAAAAUUUGAGGACUAAAAUGUACAAUAUGAAAGUUGAGGGAUUGAAUGCGCAAUUACCAAAGGACUAGAGCUUCAAUAAGAGCAAAAUAGGGAAGUGGCGCCGUGGUUUUGUCCAUUUGAUAGCACUAUGGCGCUGCAGCACCACGUACAAGGUGUCGCAACGCCGUAGCCACGGCUAGGGUCCAUUUGGCUUUUUUCUAAUUAAUUGAGGACCAUUUUGCAAUUAACAAAACACGAUUUUUGAGCCAUUUAAAGGGCAAAUUGAACCAUUUUUUUCCCAUUCUUCAUCCAUUUCAAAACCCUAGCAUAGGGAGAAAAAGGGGACAAGCAAAAAAAGAGAGGAAAUAUCACACAAAGAGGAGGAAAAUCUUGGAGAAAUCAAAACCAAAACUAAGCAAGCUUCAAUGGUCGGACCAAGGGAUAGGUUUAUUUCUUUAUAUUGUAAUUUACAUUAUAUUCUUAUCAACUUUUGUCAUGUAUUUCUUUAAUAUUUUCACUUUGAGCCCUUUAAACACAAUCUAAAUAUUUUGGUAUUGGGAUGAAUGAGGAAGUUUGGCCAAACUAUAUUAAUUUCUAUGUUUACUUGUUAAUGUAUUAAUGCUUAUGCUCUUUUGUUUUUACCAUUGUUUUGACUGCAUUAUCCUUAUUGUCAUCAUUGUGUGAUAAUGUCAAAUGAUUUGUGUGAUUAUUGAGAAAUUCUUGCACAUUUUAAACUGAGAUGGUAGAAACCUUAUGCUCUUGUGGGAGAUAGAGAUAUACUCCCAACCCUAUAAACCCUUUGAGCUAUUUUCAUAGAUAUUUAAUGCUAUUGAUUGUGUUUAAUCGACAUAGAAAUAUAGUAGGUUCAACCAAUUUAUUAGAGUUAAUUUCACUUGAGAGAUGUAAUUAACUAAAAUAGGAAAAUUGGGUUUGACAAGAUAAGUUAGCAUUUUCUAGUAAUUUGUUUGUGAGAAAUUAAUUUAGUAACGGACAAGUGGAAUCAUAAAUCUCAACCCAAUUAAAAUCCAAAUUCUCAUUAUUGUUAUAAUUGUGUGUUUUUAAUUGAAAGCUUAAAGUCAUUUUCUUUUCAUUUUUAAUUUUAAAGAUUUUAAUUGUGUGUGUCUUUACCGUUAAUUUGAAUCAACUCUUGUGUAAUUGGAAUAAACACUUUUCAAGGGAUCAACUCGAAUUUAAAAAGUUCAUUUUAUUACUUGAACGCGACCG